GGGGACCACCAGACACCCUGGGCCAUGAGAAUAAAAGUCUUCUGGAUCUCUAAACCAUCAAUACUGAAUAGCUAAGACAUGACUUAAUUCCAAACCUGCCAGACGCUCUCUCCGUUUGACCUGAUUCAUUAUCGUCUCCCCCUCACAGUCUGUGAUCCAGUUUUAAUUCACUAAGUGCUGAUGUCUGUGUCAAUCUGAACUAAUGCUGUGCAUAAAAUUUGUCUGGGAAAGCAGUGCUUACCAAUUUUCAUGUGGCUGUCCAAAAAUACAGAGCAAUGGACACUUUGGAGUCAUGUUUUUCAAACACCCAUAUGGAUUGUCACUGAUGACGCAAAGUUGUAAGUGUCAGUGAAUACAAAUAACAAUUUUUGUUGUCAUUUUUUUUGUGAGAGAGGCAGAUAGGACUGCUGAAGGAAAAUGGCUGUAUAUAUCUUGA